rnacentral:rRNA from 1 species
GAUGCUAAUACCGGAUAACAACACUAGACGCAUGUCUAGAGUUUAAAAGAUGGUUCUGCUAUCACUCUUGGAUGGACCUGCGGUGCAUUAGCUAGUUGGUAAGGCAACGGCUUACCAAGGCAAUGAUGCAUAGCCGAGUUGAGAGACUGAUCGGCCACAUUGGGACUGAGACACGGCCCAAACUCCUACGGGAGGCAGCAGCC